rnacentral:rRNA from 1 species
CGGACCAAGGAGUGCAGCAUGCGCGCGAGCCUUCGGGUGGCAAACCCCUGGGCGGAGUGAAAGCGAAAGUGCGUUUGACGCACCGAGGUGAGAGCGGGUGACACGCCCGCGCAUCAUCGACCGAUCCACAUCACUUGUGGUGGGAUUUGAGUGAGAGUGUGCCUGUUGCGACCCGAAAGAUGGUGAACUAUGCCCGAACAGGGUGAAGCCAGGGGAAACCCUGGUGGAAGCCCGAAGCGAUUCUGACGUGCAAAUCGAUCGUCUGAUUUGGGUAUAGGGGCGAAAGACUAAUCGAACCAUCUAGUAGCUGGUUCCCUCCGAAGUUUCCCUCAGGAUAGCUGGAACCCGUGUGUGCAGUUUUAUCAGGUAAAGCGAAUGAUUAGAGGUCUUGGGGUUGAAACAACCUCAACCUAUUCUCAAACUUUAAAUAGGUAAGACGUCCGACUUGCUCAAGUGAAGCCGGACCUCGAAUGCAGGGUUCCUAGUGGGCCAUUUUUGGUAAGCAGAACUGGCGAUGCGGGAUGAACCGAAAGCCGGGUUAAGGUGCCAAAGUCGACGCUCAUCAGACCCCACAAAAGGUGUUGGUUGAUCCAGACAGCAUGACGGUGGCCAUAAAAGUCGGAACCCGCUAAGGA